CAAGCCCGGACUUUGUCCAUUUGAUCGUUGCAAAUGCAUUGGUCGUGAACUCGAUCAGUGUAUGAAUGAUUUUUCUUGCAAAGGAGAAGAGAAGUGCUGUCACUCUUGUUGUGCAAAGCGCUGUGCGCCACCAGAAAAAGUGAGACCUGGAAAAUGUCCUAUUGACCUCAUUAAAUGUGUCAAGGAAGAAGAGGAUCAAUGCAAAUACGACUCUCAGUGCCCUAAACCACAAAAGUGCUGCUAUAAUUUCUGUGCUCAUCGUUGUGUGAAUCCUGUGUAAAGAGCAAAUCUUGAUGGGCUGUGAUAUUGUGUCCUGAAAACAGCUCCCGCCCUCCCUCUUUUGGCUUCAAGAAAAAAAUCAGGCAUAAUUCUAAAAUAAACGUUGUUUAUGCAGAAGGAA